rnacentral:rRNA from 1 species
UUCCAGACUCCUACGGGAGGCAGCAGUGAGGAAUAUUGGUCAAUGGUCGGGAGACUGAACCAGCCAAGCCGCGUGAGGGAGGAAGGUACAGAGUAUCGUAAACCUCUUUUGCCGGGGAGCAAAGAGCGGGACGCGUCCCGCCUCGAGAGUACCCGGAGAAAAAGCAUCGGCUAACUCCGUGCCAGCAGCCGCGGUAAUACGGAGGAUGCGAGCGUUAUCCGGAUUUAUUGGGUUUAAAGGGUGCGUAGGCGGAAGGUUAAGUCAGCGGUCAAAUGUCGGGGCUCAACACCGGCCUGCCGUUGAAACUGGUCUUCUUGAGUGAGCGAGAAGUAUGCGGAAUGCGUGGUGUAGCGGUGAAAUGCAUAGAUAUCACGCAGAACUCCGAUUGCGAAGGCAGCAUACCGGCGCUCAACUGACGCUGAGGCACGAAAGCGUGGGGAUCGAACAGGAUUAGAUACCCUCGUAUA